rnacentral:misc_RNA from 1 species
GAAAUGCGAUAAUUAAUGUGAAUUGCAGAAUUCAGUGAACCAUCGAGUCUUUGAACGCACAUUGCGCCCCCUGGUAUUCCGGGGGGCAUGCCUGUCCGAGCGUCAUUGCUGCCCUCAAGCACGGCUUGUGUGUUGGGCUUCCGUCCCUGGCAACGGGGACGGGCCCAAAAGGCAGUGGCGGCACCAUGUCUGGUCCUCGAGCGUAUGGGGCUUUGUCACCCGCUCCCGUAGGUCCAGCUGGCAGCUAGCCUCGCAACCAAUCUUUUUAACCAGGUUGACCUCGGAUCAGGUAGGGAUACCCGCUGAACUUAAGC